rnacentral:rRNA from 1 species
GGGUUGUGAGGUUAAGCGACUAAGCGUACACGGUGGAUGCCCUGGCAGUCAGAGGCGAUGAAGGACGUGCUAAUCUGCGAUAAGCGCCGGUAAGGUGAUAUGAACCGUUAUAACCGGCGAUUUCCGAAUGGGGAAACCCAGUGUGAUUCGUCACACUAUCAUUAACUGAAUCCAUAGGUUAAUGAGGCGAACCGGGGGAACUGAAACAUCUAAGUACCCCGAGGAAAAGAAAUCAACCGAGAUUCCCCCAGUAGCGGCGAGCGAACGGGGAGGAGCCCAGAGCCUGAAUCAGCAUGUGUGUUAGUGGAAGCGUCUGGAAAGGCGCGCGAUACAGGGUGACAGCCCCGUACACAAAAGCGCAUGUGCUGUGAGCUCGAUGAGUAGGGCGGGACACGUGGUAUCCUGUCUGAAUAUGGGGGGACCAUCCUCCAAGGCUAAAUACUCCUGACUGACCGAUAGUGAACCAGUACCGUGAGGGAAAGGCGAAAAGAACCCCGGCGAGGGGAGUGAAAAAGAACCUGAAACCGUGUACGUACAAGCAGUGGGAGCACAGGUUUACCUGUGUGACUGCGUACCUUUUGUAUAAUGGGUCAGCGACUUAUAUUCUGUAGCA